GACGAACGCUGGCGGCGUGCUUAACACAUGCAAGUCGAGCGGUAAGGCCCUUUCGGGGGUACACGAGCGGCGAACGGGUGAGUAACACGUGGGUGACCUGCCCUCAGCUCUGGGAUAAGCCUGGGAAACCGGGUCUAAUACCGGAUAUGACUCCAUGACGCAUGUUGUGGGGUGGAAAGCCUUGCGCGGCUGAGGAUGGGCCCGCGGCCUAUCAGCUUGUUGGUGGGGUGAUGGCCUACCAAGGCGACGACGGGUAGCCGGCCUGAGAGGGCGACCGGCCACACUGGGACUGAGACACGGCCCAGACUCCUACGGGAGGCAGCAGUGGGGAAUCUUGCGCAAUGGGCGAAAGCCUGACGCAGCGACGCCGCGUGAGGGAUGACGGCCU
rnacentral:rRNA from 1 species